CGCCCAAUUCACUGGUGGGAUUCCGGGUCUACCCACCAGAGUCCAGGUUGAGUGUGGUGACCCAUCUACAACUAUAUAUAGACACAACCCACAAUCUUAGAGGGAGAGGAAAGCCUAUGGGUCAACCACAAGAAACCCCAAGACGGGGUAACGAGCCAAACCACUUCAAGGUGGCUCAAACAGGUACUGAAAGCUGCCGGAAUAGAUAAUAAUACAUUUAAAUCCCAUUCCACUAGGGCAGCAUUGAUAUCAGCGGCUGAACGAAUGGACAUCCCGGUUGACCACAUUCUCAAUACGGGGAUGGUCAAGGGAAACGACGUUCAGAACAUUUUUUAUUGUAAACCGUUGAUAAGCCUGAUUUAAUUGCAGAAAGAAUAUUACAAACUGCAAAUAUUAAUUUAAGCUCAGGGGAGCUAUUUAUGUUGUUAUUGUUAACAAAUACCUUUCUGUUUCUUGUGAAAGCAGAUCCAUUGGUUGAUUACGAUAACACU